rnacentral:rRNA from 1 species
AAUAUUGGACAAUGGGCGAAAGCCUGAUCCAGCCAUGCCGCGUGUGUGAAGAAGGUCUUCGGAUUGAAAAGCACUUUAAGUUGGGAGGAAGGGUUGUACGUUAAUACCGUGCAAUUUUGACGUUACCGACAGAAUAAGCACCGGCUAACUCUGUGCCAGCAGCCGCGGUAAUACAGAGGGUGCAAGCGUUAAUCGGAAUUACUGGGCGUAAAGCGCGCGUAGGUGGUUCGUUAAGUUGGAUGUGAAAGCCCCGGGCUCAACCUGGGAACUGCAUCCAAAACUGGCGAGCUAGAGUAGGGCAGAGGGUGGUGGAAUUUCCUGUGUAGCGGUGAAAUGCGUAGAUAUAGGAAGGAACACCAGUGGCGAAGGCGACCACCUGGGCUCAUACUGACACUGAGGUGCGAAAGCGUGGGGAGCAAAC